rnacentral:rRNA from 1 species
CCUACGGGGGGCUGCAGUGGGGAAUAUUGGGCAAUGGGCGCAAGCCUGACCCAGCAACGCCGCGUGAAGGAAGAAGGCUUUCGGGUUGUAAACUUCUUUGACGGGGGACGAAAGAAAUGACGGUACCCCGAAAACAAGCCACGGCUAACUACGUGCCAGCAGCCGCGGUAAUACGUAGGUGGCAAGCGUUGUCCGGAUUUACUGGGUGUAAAGGGCGCGUAGGCGGGAUUGCAAGUCAGGCGUGAAAAUUAUGGGCUCAACCCAUAACCUGCGUUUGAAACUGUAGUUCUUGAGUAUCGGAGAGGCAGGCGGAAUUCCUAGUGUAGCGGUGAAAUGCGUAGAUAUUAGGAGGAACACCAGUGGCGAAGGCGGCCUGCUGGACGACAACUGACGCUGAGGCGCGAAAGCGUGGGGAGCAAACAGGAUUAGAUACCCGUGUAGUC